AUUGAACGCUGGCGGCAGGCCUAACACAUGCAAGUCGAACGAGUGGCGGACGGGUGAGUAAUGUCUGGGAAACUGCCUGAUGGAGGGGGAUAACUACUGGAAACGGUAGCUAAUACCGCAUACCAUCGGAUGUGCCCAGAUGGGAUUAGCUAGUAGGUGGGGUAAAGGCUCACCUAGGCGACGAUCCCUAGCUGGUCUGAGAGGAUGACCAGCCACACUGUAACUGAGACACUGUCCAGACUCCUACGGGAGACAGCAGGGGGGAAUACUGCACAAUGGGCGCGAGCCUGAUGCAGCCAUGCCGCGUGUAUGAAGAGGGCCUUCGGGUUGUAAAGUACUUUCAGCGGGGAGGCUUUGCCCGCGGAAGAAGCACCGGCUAACUCCGUGCCAGCAGCCGCGGUAAUUC
rnacentral:rRNA from 1 species